GAUGAACGCUAGCUACAGGCUUAACACAUGCAAGUCGAGGGGUAGCACGGAGGAAGCUUGCUUCCUUGGGUGACGACCGGCGCACGGGUGAGUAACGCGUAUCCGACCUACCCAUAACUCGGGCACAGCCGCUCGAAAGAGUGAUUGAUUCCCGAUAUGUCCUUGGAGUAGAUUCAAUGAUGAAAGAUUUAUCGGUUAUGGAUGGGGAUGCGUAAGAUUAGGUAGUAGGCGGGGUAACGGCCCACCUAGCCGACGAUCUUUAGGGGUUCUGAGAGGAAGGUCCCCCACACUGGUACUGAGACACGGACCAGACUCCUACGGGAGGCAGCAGUGAGGAAUAUUGGUCAAUGGGCGGAAGCCUGAACCAGCCAAGUAGCGUGAAGGAUUACAGCCCUACGGGUUUUAAACUCUUUUAUAUAAGAGUAAUGUGCACUACGUGUAGUGUAUUGCAAGUAUUAUAUGAAUAAGCAUCGGCUAACUCCGUGCCAGCAGCC
rnacentral:rRNA from 1 species